GAUGAACGCUGACAGCAUGCUUAACACAUGCAAGUCAACUGUGGCGGACGGGUGAGUAACGCGUAAAGAACUUGCCUCACAGUUCGGGACAACAUUUGGAAACGAAUGCUAAUACCUGAUACUGUGAGAGAGCUUUGCGUCCCAUUAGCUAGUUGGAGAGGUAACGGCUCACCAAGGCGAUGAUGGGUAGCCGGCCUGAGAUGGUGAUCGGCCACAAGGGGGCUGAGACACGGCACUUACUCCUACGGGAGGCAGCAGUGGGGAAUAUUGGACAAUGGACCAAAGUCUGAUCCAGAAAUUCUGUUUUCACGAUGAGGUUUUCGGAAUGUAAAGUGCUUUCAGUUGGGAAGCGGUACCAACAGAAGAAGUGACGGCUAAAUACGUGCCAGCCGCCGCGGUAAUAC
rnacentral:rRNA from 1 species